rnacentral:rRNA from 1 species
AAUCAACGCUGGCGGCGUGCCUCAGACAUGCAAGUCGAACGAUUAAACUUUCCUUCGGGAAAGAUAUAAAGUGGCGCACGGGUGAGUAACACGUAGGUAAUGUGCCUUUGGGUGGGGAAUAACUUAGGGAAACUUAAGCUAAUACCGCAUAAUGCAGCGGCUUCUUCGGAAGACAGUUGUUAAAGAUUUAUCGCCUAAAGAGCAGCCUGCGGCAGAUUAGCUAGUUGGUAAGGUAACGGCUUACCAAGGCUACGAUCUGUAUCCGACCUGAGAGGGUGGUCGGACACACUGACACUGAAUAACGGGUCAGACUCCUACGGGAGGCAGCAGUCGGGAAUUUUGGGCAAUGGGCGAAAGCCUGACCCAGCAACGCCGCGUGAA